rnacentral:rRNA from 1 species
UACGUAGGGAGCAAGCGUUGUCCGGAAUCAUUGGGCGUAAAGCGCGCGUAGGUGGCCUCAUAAGUCCGCUGUGAAAGUCCAAGGCUCAACCUUGGAAAGCCGGUGGAUACUGUGAGGCUAGAGUACGGAAGAGGCGAGUGGAAUUCCUGGUGUAGCGGUGAAAUGCGCAGAUAUCAGGAGGAACACCGGUGGCGAAGGCGGAUCUCUGGGCCUUGCCUGACGCUGAGGCGCGAAAGCUAGGGGAGCGAACAGG